rnacentral:tRNA from 1 species
GUAGAUGUAGCUCAGCUGGUUAGAGCAUCGGUUUGUGGUACCGAGGGUCGUGGGUUCGAACCCCAUCAUUUACCCCAAAG